rnacentral:lncRNA from 1 species
ACUUUGUCGGACUUCAGCGUGAGACAUAUAGUGUUUAUCAAUGUGAGUAUAGGAACAUUAAGACACUAAGAGCAUAUAGCUAUCAAAUGAUGUCACUGGGGCCUGCACAAUCUGCUGACUUUAAAUGCUACCCCUGUUUUCACUGAACUACCCUGCCUCCUUUGAUUCACUCCUCAGAGGACUGGGCUAUGCUCUUUUAUUGAAAGACUUAACACAGCAUGUUUGGUCCAAUCUCUGGAAGCAUGCCUUUUCCUGCCAGACAUUUCUCUGACAUUGACAGUCAUCCAAAGCUGUUACAUAUUCAAUCUAGUGCUAAGUGGUCUCAGGAAAGCAAAUAGAAUUAUAAACUACGGUGCUUUUCUUCAUGAGCAUGUGAUGUGUGUGGAAAAAAAUAUGCACAUUAACAAUAAUCAUUUACUAAACUUGAGUUAAAGACAUGAGAAAAUGUGUUACAUAACAGCUUAGUAAUUACCAUGUCACUCCCAGAAAUCCUCCUCAGCCAGGCUGUGCAUCAGAUUAUCUGUGGUGUUCUUUAAAAAUUAAAGGUUCCUAAGCAACAUUCCCCUAGACCACCUGAAAGGAGAAUUUCACUUCUUUUUUCUCUCUGAUCUUUGUACAACCCAAAGAUUUAUUGCAUUUAUUGUGAAGUAUUUCUCUGCAUACUUGAUGUGAGCAUCACUAAGGUAGAUAGGAUGGGUUGUUCAUCUUUUGAGUUCUGCUUGUUUUGUUCCCUUUAUCAACGUAUCUACAUUUUAA